AACGAACGCUGGCGGCAUGCCUAACACAUGCAAGUCGAACGAGACCUUCGGGACUACUUGCUCAUGCGUGCGUCACGCGUCGGAACCUUCCCUUAGGCUCGGAAUAACUCCCCGACAGGGGUGCUAAUACCGGAUAAUGUACUCGGACCAAAGAUUUAUCGCCUUUGGAUGGGCCCGCGUUGGACUAGCUAGUUGGGAGGGUAAAAGCCUACCAAGGCGACGAUCCAUAGCUGGUCUGAGAGGAUGGUCAGCCACACUGGGACUGGGACGCGGCGCAGACUCUUAGGGAAGGGAGCAAUGCGGAAUAUUGGACUAUGGGCGAGGGCCUGAUGCAGUAAGGCUGCUUGAGUGAUGAAGGCGUGAGGGUUAUAAAGCUCUUUUAUCCGGGAUGGUAAUGACAGUACCGGAAGAAUAAGCUCCGGCUAACUCCGUG
rnacentral:rRNA from 1 species